rnacentral:rRNA from 1 species
GUGGCGAACGGGUGAGUAAUGUAUCGGAACGUACCUUUCAGUGGGGGAUAACGUAGCGAAAGUUACGCUAAUACCGCAUAUUCUGUGAGCAGGAAAGCAGGGGAUCGCAAGACCUUGCGCUGAUUGAGCGGCCGAUAUCAGAUUAGCUAGUUGGUGAGGUAAAGGCUCACCAAGGCGACGAUCUGUAGCGGGUCUGAGAGGAUGAUCCGCCACACUGGAACUGAGACACGGUCCAGACUCCUACGGGAGGCAGCAGUGGGGAAUUUUGGACAAUGGGGGCAACCCUGAUCCAGCCAUGCCGCGUGAGUGAAGAAGGCCUUCGGGUCGUAGAGCUCUUUCGGCCGGGAAGAAAUCGUAUGGGUUAAUACCCUGUGCGGAUGACGGUACCGGCAUAAGGAGCACCGGCUAACUACGUGCCAGCAGCCGCGGUAAUACGUAGGGUGCGAGCGUUAAUCGGAAUUACUGGGCGUAAAGCGUGCGCAGGCGGUUUUGUAAGACAGGCGUGAAAUCCCCGGGCUCAACCUGGGAACUGCGCUUGUGACUGCAAGGCUAGAGUACGGCAGAGGGGGGUGGAAUUCCACGUGUAGCAGUGAAAUGCGUAGAGAUGUGGAGGAACACCAAUGGCGAAGGCAGCCCCCUGGGUCGAUACUGACGCUCAUGCACGAAAGCGUGGGUAGCAAACAGGAUUAGAUACCCUGGUAGUCCACGCCCUAAACGAUGUCAACUAGGUGUUGGGUGGGUAAAACCAUUUAGUACCGGAGCUAACGCGUGAAGUUGACCGCCUGGGGAGUACGGCCGCAAGGUUAAAACUCAAAGGAAUUGACGGGGACCCGCACAAGCGGUGGAUGAUGUGGAUUAAUUCGAUGCAACGCGAAAAACCUUACCUACCCUUGACAUGUCCAGGAGCCUGAAGAGAUUUGGGUGUGCCCGAAAGGGAACUGGAACACAGGUGCUGCAUGGCUGUCGUCAGCUCGUGUCGUGAGAUGUUGGGUUAAGUCCCGCAACGAGCGCAACCCUUGUCGUUAAUUGCCAUCAUUAGUUGGGCACUUUAACGAGACUGCCGGUGACAAACCGGAGGAAGGUGGGGAUGACGUCAAGUCCUCAUGGCCCUUAUGGGUAGGGCUUCACACGUCAUACAAUGGUCGGUACAAAGGGUCGCCAACCCGCGAGGGGGAGCCAAUCCCAGAAAGCCGAUCGUAGUCCGGAUCGUAGGCUGCAACUCGCCUGCGUGAAGUCGGAAUCGCUAGUAAUCGUGGAUCAGCAUGUCACGGUGAAUACGUUCCCGGGUCUUGUACACACCGCCCGUCACACCAUGGGAGCGGGUUCCGCCAGAAGUAGGUAGCCUAACCGCAA